rnacentral:rRNA from 1 species
CGGAGCGGGGGUCAUUGGGCAUUACUGAUCGUAGCGCGUACGCAGGCGAGUUUAUCAAGUCUGAUGUGCAAGCCCCGGGCUUAACCUGGGAACUGCGUUGGAAACUGAUAAACUAGAGUACGGAAGAGGGGGGUAGAAUUCCACGUGUAGCAGUGAAAUGCGUAGAUAUGUGGAGGAAUACCGAUGGCGAAGGCAGCCCCCUGGGUCGAUACUGACGCUCAUGCACGAAAGCGUGGGUAACAAACAGGAUUAGAUACCCUGGUAGUCCACGCCCUAAACGAUGUCAACUAGUUGUUGGGGAGGGAGACCUCCUUAGUAACGCAGCUAACGCGUGAAGUUGACCGCCUGGGGAGUACGGUCGCAAGAUUAAAACUCAAAGGAAUUGGCGGGGGAGCACAAGACAUGGAUUGGCGGGAGAACACAAGUUGUUUUUUGGGGGCGGAACC